CUUUUUGGAGAGUUUGAUCCUGGCUCAGGACGAACGCUGGCGGCGUGCCUAAUACAUGCAAGUCGAGCGAAUCUGAUAGGAGCUUGCUCCUUUUCAGAUUAGCGGCGGACGGGUGAGUAACACGUGGGUAACCUGCCUGUAAGACUGGGAUAACUCCGGGAAACCGGGGCUAAUACCGGAUAACUUUUUCCUUCGCAU
rnacentral:rRNA from 1 species